ACGAACGCUGGCGGCACGCUUAACACAUGCAAGUCGAACGAGAGAAGAGGAGCUUGCUUUUCUGAUCUAGUGGCGGACGGGUGAGUAACACGUGAGCAAUCUACCUUUCAGAGGGGGAUACCGAUUGGAAACGAUCGUUAAUACCGCAUAACAUAAUUGAACCGCAUGAUUUGAUUAUCAAAGAUUUAUCGCUGAAAGAUGAGCUCGCGUCUGAUUAGCUAGUUGGUAAGGUAACGGCUUACCAAGGCGACGAUCAGUAGCCGGACUGAGAGGUUGAUCGGCCACAUUGGGACUGAGACACGGCCCAGACUCCUACGGGAGGCAGCAGUGGGGAAUAUUGCACAAUGGAGGAAACUCUGAUGCAGCGAUGCCGCGUGAGGGAAGAAGGUUUUAGGAUUGUAAACCUCUGUCUUCAGGGACGAAAAAAGACGGUACCUGAGGAGGAAGCUCCGGCUAACUACGUGCCAGCAGCCGCGGUAAUACGUAGGGAGCGAGCGUUGUCCGGAAUUACUGGGUGUAAAGGGAGCGUAGGCGGGAUCGCAAGUCAGAUGUGAAAACUAUGGGCUUAACCCAUAAACUGCAUUUGAAACUGUGGUUCUUGAGUGAAGUAGAGGUAAGCGGAAUUCCUAGUGUAGCGGUGAAAUGCGUAGAUAUUAGGAGGAACAUCAGUGGCGAAGGCGGCUUACUGGGCUUUAACUGACGCUGAGGCUCGAAAGCGUGGGGAGCAAACAGGAUUAGAUACCCUGGUAGUCCACGCCGUAAACGAUGAUUACUAGGUGUGGGGGGACUGACCCCUUCCGUGCCGCAGCAAACGCAAUAAGUAAUCCACCUGGGGAGUACGACCGCAAGGUUGAAACUCAAAGGAAUUGACGGGGGCCCGCACAAGCAGUGGAGUAUGUGGAUUAAUUCGAAGCAACGCGAAGAACCUUACCAGGUCUUGACAUCGUAUGCAUAGCUCAGAGAUGAGUGAAAUCUCUUCGGAGACAUAUAGACAGGUGGUGCAUGGUUGUCGUCAGCUCGUGUCGUGAGAUGUUGGGUUAAGUCCCGCAACGAGCGCAACCCUUACUGUUAGUUGCUACGCAAGAGCACUCUAGCAGGACUGCCGUUGACAAAACGGAGGAAGGUGGGGAUGACGUCAAAUCAUCAUGCCCCUUAUGACCUGGGCCUCACACGUACUACAAUGGCUGUCAACAGAGGGAUGCAAAGCCGCGAGGUGGAGCGAACCCCUAAAAGCAGUCUUAGUUCGGAUUGUAGGCUGCAACCCGCCUACAUGAAGUCGGAAUUGCUAGUAAUCGCAGAUCAGCAUGCUGCGGUGAAUACGUUCCCGGGCCUUGUACACACCGCCCGUCACGCCAUGGGAGUCGGUAACACCCGAAGCCUGUAGUCUAACCGCAAGGAGGACGCAGUCGAAGGUGGGAUUGAUGACUGGGGUG
rnacentral:rRNA from 1 species